rnacentral:hammerhead_ribozyme from 1 species
GCACUGCUGACAAGUCCCAUAAUAGGACGAAACGGCCGUCCAGUGC